rnacentral:rRNA from 1 species
UCGAGGGGCAGCAUCAUCAAAGCUUGCUUUGAUGGAUGGCGACCGGCGCACGGGUGAGUAACGCGUAUCCAACCUGCCGACAACACUGGGAUAGCCUUUCGAAAGAAAGAUUAAUACCGGAUGGCAUAGUUUUCCCGCAUGGGAUAAUUAUUAAAGAAUUUCGGUUGUCGAUGGGGAUGCGUUCCAUUAGGCAGUUGGCGGGGUAACGGCCCACCAAACCUACGAUGGAUAGGGGUUCUGAGAGGAAGGUCCCCCACAUUGGAACUGAGACACGGUCCAAACUCCUACGGGAGGCAGCAGUGAGGAAUAUUGGUCAAUGGACGAGAGUCUGAACCAGCCAAGUAGCGUGAAGGAUGACUGCCCUAUGGGUUGUAAACUUCUUUUAUACGGGAAUAAAGUUAGCCACGUGUGGUUUUUUGUAUGUACCGUAUGAAUAAGGAUCGGCUAACUCCGUGCCAGCAGCCGCGGUAAUACGGAGGAUCCGAGCGUUAUCCGGAUUUAUUGGGUUUAAAGGGAGCGUAGGCGGGUUGUUAAGUCAGUUGUGAAAGUUUGCGGCUCAACCGUAAAAUUGCAGUUGAUACUGGCGAC